CCUACGGGAGGCAGCAGUGGGGAAUAUUGCGCAAUGGGCGCAAGCCUGAUGCAGCAACGCCGCGUGAGGGAAGAAGGAAUUCGGGAUGUAAAGCUCUAUCAGCAGGGAAGAAAAUGACGGUACCUGUGUAGAACACCCCAGCUCACGACGGGCCAGCAGCUGCGGUGAUACGUGGAGGGCACACGUUAUCCGGAUUUACUGUGUGUAAAGGGGGCGUAGACGGCGGUGCAAGUCUGGAGUGAAAAGCGGGGGCUCAACCCCCGAACUGCUCUUGAAACUGUUCGGCUGGAGUGCAGGAGAGGUAAGUGGAAUUCCUAGUGUAGCGGUGAAAUGCGUAGAUAUUAGGAGGAACACCAGUGGCGAAGGCGGUCUACUGGACUGUAACUGACGUUGAGGCGCGAAAGCGUGGGGAGCAAACAGGAUUAGAUACCCCAGUAGUC
rnacentral:rRNA from 1 species